rnacentral:rRNA from 1 species
UACCUUUGUGAGGGGGACAACAGCCGGAAACGGCUGCUAAUACCGCAUAAGGCCACGGUUCCGAUUGGGACUGAGGUAAAAGAUUUAUCGCACAAAGAUGGGCUCGCGUCCCAUUAGCUAGUUGGCGGGGUAACGGCCCACCAAGGCGACGAUGGGUAGCCGACCUGAGAGGGUGAUCGGCCACACUGGAACUGAGACACGGUCCAGACUCCUACGGGAGGCAGCAGUGGGGAAUAUUGGGCAAUGGGCGCAAGCCUGACCCAGCAACGCCGCGUGAGGGAAGAAGGUCUUCGGAUUGUAAACCUCUGUCCUUGGGGACGAAAGAAAUGACGGUACCCAAGGAGGAAGCUCCGGCUAACUACGUGCCAGCAGCCGCGGUAAUACGUAGGGAGCGAGCGUUGUCCGGAAUUACUGGGCGUAAAGGGUGCGUAGGUGGCGCUGCAAGUCAGAUGUGAAAUCCCCGGGCUUAACUCGGGGGGUGCAUUUGAAACUGCGGUGCUUGAGUGCAGGAGAGGAAAGCGGAAUUCCUAGUGUAGCGGUGAAAUGCGUAGAUAUUAGGAAGAACACCAGUGGCGGAGGCGGCUUUCUGGACUGUAACUGACGCUGAUGCACGAAAGCGUGGGGAGCAAACAGGAUUAGAUACCCUGGUAGUCCACGCUGUAAACGAUGGAUACUAGGUGUGGGGGACAUACAACCUCUGUGCCGAAGCAAACGCAUUAAGUAUCCCGCCUGGGGAGUACGGUCGCAAGACUGAAACUCAAAUGAAUUGACGG